CAUAAGCGGAGGAAAAGAAACCAACAGGGAUUGCCUUAGUAACGGCGAGUGAAGCGGCAAAAGCUCAAAUUUGAAAUCUGGCGCCUUCGGUGUCCGAGUUGUAAUUUGAAGAAGGUAACUUUGGAGUUGGCUCUUGUCUAUGUUCCUUGGAACAGGACGUCACAGAGGGUGAGAAUCCCGUGCGAUGAGAUGCCCAACUCUAUGUAAAGUGCUUUCGAAGAGUCGAGUUGUUUGGGAAUGCAGCUCUAAGUGGGUGGUAAAUUCCAUCUAAAGCUAAAUAUUGGCGAGAGACCGAUAGCGAACAAGUACAGUGAUGGAAAGAUGAAAAGAACUUUGAAAAGAGAGUGAAAAAGUACGUGAAAUUGUUGAAAGGGAAGGGCUUGAGAUCAGACUUGGUAUUUUGCGAUCCUUUCCUUCUUGGUUGGGUUCUCCGCAGCUUACUGGGCCAGCAUCGGUUUGGAUGGUAGGAUAAUGAUUAAGGAAUGUGGCUCUACUUCGGUGGAGUGUUAUAGCCUUGGUUGAUACUGCCUGUCUAGACCGAGGACUGCGUCUUGA
rnacentral:rRNA from 1 species